CGAAACAGCUCUCAGUUCCCCUUUUUCUUACAAUGGACCUAGGGAUGGGUAAUUCAAACCCUAGAUCAAAAUGGAAGGAGGUCAUGGAAGCGAUGCGGAGAGAGAAGACGAAGAUUCGGAAAGCGAACUGCUUCGUGACCGUUUCAGGCUCUCUACAAUCUCCAUAGCUGAAGCAGAAGCAAAGAAAAUAGAAUGGAUAUGUCUGAACCAAUAAUUGCUUGCAUUGCCGAUUUGGCCUUCAAAUAUGCAGAACAAUUGGCAAAGGACCUUGAGUUUUUUGCAUGGCAUGCUGUUUGUAAAUCUGUGAACAUGGAGUAUGUCAUACUUUCGGCCAGCUAUUGAGAUGGCUGAUUGAAUGUUGGAGGCGUUGGUUGCUGUUGGGUUUGCGACUGUGCUGAGCAUCAAGACGUUUCUCCUUGAUUUGGCUAUUUCUCAUCUUCGGAAUUUGCUUCUACAUUACGACUGGGAAAGCUGUCCCAAUGGCUAUGAGGGUUGAAAAGCACUAUGACAGCGCCUUUUUGUCGUGGCAAAGCUGAGCAGAGCUUUGUGGAGAAAAUGGCGAUCAACGUUGUGAGGGAGAGGCUAUGUUGUGAUGGGUGACUUUCUGGCAAUGAUAAGCUGUGGAAGAAGGCGAAGGUGGGUCACUGGUUAAGCUCUUCUUUGUUUUGGUAGGGUUUCUAAGAAGGGGAUGGAUUGAUUUGUGGGUUGAUUGGUUGGGUUUGGGUUGGUAAGGUCUGAUGGGCUUGUCUGUUGCCACAUAGUGUGGGCUUUUGUUUGUCUUUGUUAAUGGUAGACCCAGUUUGUAACUAUUGCUCUUAUAAGCUUUUAUUGCAAGUUUGGCAUAUUAAAAAAAAAUAUAUAUAUAUCUGCAUGAUACUGA